rnacentral:rRNA from 1 species
CUACGGGAGGCAGCAGUGGGGAAUUUUGGACAAUGGGCGCAAGCCUGAUCCAGCCAUGCCGCGUGAGUGAAGAAGGCCUUCGGGUUGUAAAGCUCUUUCGGCCGGGAAGAAAUCGCAUGGGCUAAUACCCUAUGCGGAUGACGGUACCGGCAUAAGAAGCACCGGCUAACUACGUGCCAGCAGCCGCGGUAAUACGUAGGGUGCGAGCGUUAAUCGGAAUUACUGGGCGUAAAGCGUGCGCAGGCGGUUUUUUAAGAUAGGCGUGAAAUCCCCGGGCUCAACCUGGGAACUGCGCUUAUGACUGGAAGACUAGAGUAUGGCAGAGGGGGGUGGAAUUCCACGUGUAGCAGUGAAAUGCGUAGAGAUGUGGAGGAACACCGAUGGCGAAGGCAGCCCCCUGGGCCAAUACUGACGCUCAUGCACGAAAGCGUGGGGAGCAAACAGGAUUAGAUACCCUGGUAGUCCACGCCCUAAACGAUGUCAACUAGGUGUUGGGAGGGUAAAACCUUUUAGUACCGGAGCUAACGCGUGAAGUUGACCGCCUGGGGAGUACGGCCGCAAGGUUAAAACUCAAAUGAAUUGACGG